rnacentral:siRNA from 1 species
CUGAUCAUAUCUCAUCUGUCUGCA